rnacentral:rRNA from 1 species
CAGCAGCCGCGUAAUACGUAGGUGGCAAGCGUUGUCCGGAAUUAUUGGGCGUAAAGGGCUCGCAGGCGGUUUCUUAAGUCUGAUGUGAAAGCCCCCGGCUCAACCGGGGAGGGUCAUUGGAAACUGGGAAACUUGAGUGCAGAAGAGGAGAGUGGAAUUCCACGUGUAGCGGUGAAAUGCGUAGAGAUGUGGAGGAACACCAGUGGCGAAGGCGACUCUCUGGUCUGUAACUGACGCUGAGGAGCGAAAGCGUGGGGAGCGAACAGGAUUAGAUACCCCAGUAGUCCCUGUCUCUUAUACA